rnacentral:lncRNA from 1 species
UUUCUACAUUGGAAAAAUGCACAAUACUAUCCAUGGUUUUAAACAUGCUUUUGAUCCCUGGUAUUUUAAUUUUGAAAAGUACUAAGGUUGAAAUUUCAUUCCGGAAAACCGUGUUCGACAUUAAAUACUUUUUCAAGUCUCAUGACAUCAACAAAAUAAAGUAAGAUUAUAAUAAUGAUAAAACCAAAGUUCACAAAUCAAAACCACAUACUAAUAAGAACAAGAAUAACCCAAUGAACAAAACAAUUGUCAAAAACCAAGACCAAGUGCCACUCAAAAAUCACUCAGUUAUUCUCCUUAUUAUAUUGGAAGGUAUGAAACCAAAACUUUGAAUAAUCUCAUAAAUCCAAAUGUUAACAUGCACCAUGUCUCAUCUAAAACUUAUUUCUCAACCAUUAAUUAACUACUUCCACGGUUAUAAAAUGUUUAAUAAAACAAAAAUGUUACGGCAGAAAAAUUCGAAAAGAAUACAACUCGUCGCUUAAAGGGCUGACAGGUUGGUGGAAGAUGAUGACAUUGCAGUUAGAACUUCGGUAACGGAUCCCAUGACG